GAUAGCGUUUUUUUAAAAAAUGCUAUUGUAAAGAGGCAAUUAUAGCGUUCAGCCAUUUAGCACCAAAAGAAACGCUCGCGCCCUAUUUAUUAUAGCAUCCCACAAGUCUUCAAUAGCGUUUCACUCUUUACAAAAUGAAAACCAGCGUUUCACCCUCCCCAGAUUUUCCCCUUUUCAACCCCUCUCUCUCUCUCUCUCUCUCUCUCUCUCUCUCUCUCAAAACAAUGGCGUACGACAGAAGGGGGAGGGGGAAGGCGGCAACUCCUCCUCUCCUCCCCCCAACCCCCACCAUCGCUGCCCUUCCUCUCUGCCAAUCGAACCGAGCUACCGACGGUCGUCACCAUCGAACUGCGCCGAUCCUCGUCGAUUAAAUCACCUCGCCUGAUCUGUACGGACUCUCCCUCUCAGCCGAUCUUGCCCUUGUAUCCCGCCGGAUGUCGUUUUAACACGCCGACUAUCGUCAACCAACGUUCUCGCCCCAACCACCAUUUGCCGUCGAUUUGCCUUCGCAAGGGCCGUCUGUUUAGGUUUCGGAUCGAUUGCUACUGUGCUAAGGUUUCAAUCUUGAGUUCGUUUUGUCUUCCACCCAAAGGGCUUGCGUGGAUUUGUGGCCAUGGAGGAUCUAUCAGAGAUAUAUGAGAAGUGAGAACGCUCCAUGAAUUAGCCACUAAGAUUGGAGACAAAGAGCAAAAGAAGGUGCCAAUCCUCUUCCAUAUCCUAAGCCAAUUAAUUGCUUAGGAUGACCGCUUGAAACCCAAUGAUAGAUAUGAAGUUCGGCGAGCGGAUCCAUAAGACGAUAAUGUUGAUGUGCCUCUUGCUUGAAAUAACGGUUGUGUAAGUCUCAAACUCUACAGUAACCAAGAGAGAAUAUGGGAGUUACAAAUUGCGUUUAGUCCAAAUAGGAUAAAGGGGACAUGGGGGUGAGGAAAAGGAGACUUGGACGAAGGAAGGAUAGACUUUGGUUUUUUUCUCUUGUCUAUGUGAAGGUUGGAUACUUUGAUCUUGAGAGACUAAGGAAUCGUCAAAUGAGCAGCUUUUGGAGUUGGGGAAAGUGCUUGGUCAGAUUAGGUUUAUCCGUGGAAGCUGCUGCUGGAAGAGAUACCAAGCCAACAUUAACAGACUCAGUACCUUCCCCUUCACUUUCCAAAGCUCGUUCUGAAACAGAUGGAAUAGCUGAAACUGGAGCUUCCUCCUCAUCAGACACAACAGACUUGGUAACAACAGCUUGUCUACCACCCAAGCUAUCAAUUCUACUACAAGAGACAUCUGAAAUUGAAGUCUUGCUAUCACUGUUUGAACUAGGGGAAGUUUUAUCAUUUGUAUCAUCUAAUUAGUCAGACUCUUUUAUGUAGUUUUUGUCGGGGAAUUGUUUUCCCCGCUAAUGUAAUGAAUCUUUAUUCAAUGGUUGAAUUGUAUAUUGUACAUUGAUGGUUGGAUAUAGUUGGUGUUGAAUGGAAUAUUUCAUUUUUGUUUUUUCUUA